GCGCCCGUAGCUCAGGUGGAUAGAGCACCGGACUACGGAUCCGGGUGCGGGGGUUCGAGUCCUCCCGGGCGCACCA
rnacentral:tRNA from 2 species